UUUCUUGUGCCAGACUACGUUCUAGUUAAACUACGCUGAAAGACCAUGAUCUAAUCUGGAUGACUCAUUCCUCGCACAAUAAGUGCAACACAAGUGUAUAGUUCUAGCGCCGUUGCCUCUUAGGCGGACCGUGGAGCCUAACCGGACUGGAAUAGGAAAGAACAUUCCAAUAAAUCGGCCAGAAAAGUUCGAUGCAGAAUAGGCACGAGAAGGGACAAGAAAGAGUGCGGUCUAGGAAGAAGGCUGGCAGAUUUGCGAGGCGGAUGACAAUCAGUGCAGGAAGUGCAGUGACUGGCACGAGGUGGUGAAAGCCGAAGUGCAGCGGAAAGUGGGCCAGGUACCAGAACGAUAUAAAGAACGUGUAAGAGUUCGGACGUCCCACGUUUGACAUCCAUAUUUAUAAAGAUAGCAGCAAAGUGCUGCGAGAGAUACCCGGCUCUGUCGGAGCCAGGAAUGAAAGCAGAGCGAAUGCGGUGAGCCGCAACCCUUGUAACCUAACACUGUGCGGCCGGGGAACAGCCUGAAGAAAAACAACGAAAAAAACAACCCAACCGCCGCGCCGCUCGAAAAACCGAUCUUCGAGCACCCGGCUGAAAAGUGUUCGAUGUCCUCAAAGUCUACUGGCUGCGUCAUGCAACCGGGUCUGGUCUGGUGGUUCUCAGAAAUCCAAUGAGAGAACAACGAGGAUUUUGUACGGUAUACCGAACCAACCGAUGCGGUUUACAUUUACCAUGUCGGCUGGCAUAUCGUUAUUAAAGGUCACAUGGAAUAUAAGAAUAAUUCACGUCUCUCUCUCUCUCUCUCUCUCUCUCUCUCUCUCUCUCUCUCUCGUACCGUGGAACAUCGGUAAUCUGACCUAAUCGAGGAAAUACGGGUUUUCGGAUAAUAGAUCAGUCAACUGGUUCAAACGCUAAUUUAAAUAAUCGACGUUCUCCUAUGUCGGAAUGGAGAAGACAUGAUUUAUUAUAGAAAUACUAUUUCGGCACAAACGAAAUUAUUUCUCAAGUAUCAAUAAUAUAAAUUCUUACAAUAUCUGUACAUAUUUUUGAGUCCACUUAUCUUAGAUCAGAGAUCAUGUUCCUAUUUGAAAGAACUUGCAGAUAUUAGAAAACUGAAACACAGUAUAAUUUUUUUCAAUUGAAACACGAUUUUCUAUGUUUUAAAAAAUGAUAUGUAUUUUAUUUGUCAUAUUCUUAAAUUGCAACGAGAGACUGAUUCGAUGGUGAUAGGUCUCAGUUUAAUCAUGUGAUACUACAGUAAUGUGAUUUAUUUCUUAAAUUGCUAUCGAUUUUGUUUAAUGCGAUUUUUUUCAUCUCACUGCUAUGAUUAAUAGUUAUAUGGUAAUUCAUGUAUUUUAUAAGUACUGCAUACCUUUACCGGGUCCUUUACACAGUAGAGUUUCUGAAAAAUAAUUUUCAACAUUCUACUCUAGUUUAAAAUUUGCAUUUCUAGAUACAGUUAAUUGUAUUCUGACAAAAAUAUAAUUUAAUUGUAGAUCAAUUUUUUAUCCCCUUCUUAAAUAUUUUUUGGAGUAUAGCUAUCAUAUAAGUGGGUUCAUUAAACAUUUUUUAUUACAAACUAGAUGCGGGGGUUGAUCAAAAUAUAUUUUAUUUAGUAAUUGCUACAGUACGCGUCAAUGCGUUAAUAAUAUUUUAACCUCAUUUAAUGAAUUAAUUUUUCGACUCCACUUGAUAGAGAAUUCAAAAAUUUAGCGAUGAAUUACUUGCAACUCAGAAAAUCAUAUCGAAAUUGGUAUGCUACAACUGUUUUAUUGGUUCCACGUAAUUUGAGUGCACUAGUUUGGUGAAAGCGAACAAUAAAUGAGUCGUAAUACGAUAACAGCGUGAAAAAUAAAAAUUGCAUUAUUUCGCGGUAAAUGGUACUAAAACAACGUAAAUUUCUAUACAAUUAUUGUAGAGGCGUUAUUUACUAUUAUACUAUUCAGUCGCGCUUUUGACAAAAUUCCAUUGUUCAUAAUUAUUGAACAAAAUAAUUCAACCACUGCAACAAAUAUUCUCGUUACAAUUAAUAUUAAAUUGUAAUUGGUAUGUUUUUAGUAUGAAGUCAUAUUUAUCGUAUAAACGAGCAGUAAUAAAUCGGAAGUGUACCCAAUGAAUUCUCAUAAAUAUUUCUAUAUUCCAUCUGCGUUCGUAAUAUCCGAUGCGUAUACCAACUGACGCAUAAAUUAUUGCACGUCUGUUCUCUCCAUACUACCGUAGCUUACAUGAUCCAAAUUUUCUGACACUGGCCCACUGGGCAUGAAAGACAAAAUAAAAGCAACGAAGGGAACGAAAAAUUUCACUUUUAGCAUGGUCAAACGAUGAAAUUAAAAUUGUGCAUUACAUAUUGUCGAGACACCCCUAUAUAAUUCAAAGGUUUCACAACACUUUCGAGAUCCGGUUUGAAAAACUUUCUCCGUAUCCCAGUGUCGUUUACGGAUAAUCAUUUGCGAGAAAAAAACGCGAGAGUCGAUAGAGGCGAACGGAAAAAAUGCAGGUUCCAAGGGACAGUUUAAAAAAAUAUUCGCAAAAAUAUACAUAUAUAAAAAAAUAUUCACAAAAUAUACAUAGAACUCCCUUCCAAAUCGUGCACCAAAAAAAUUAUGCUCCAAAAUAAUUCACUAAAUAAUUCAACAUCUGCAACUUUUUUUCUGAAAUCUCUGCAGACAAGAUAUGAAAAAACUUUCAUCCCUUAAGUAGGGAUUAAGGAUGUACGGGUAUCUAAUAUUUUGGGUUUGGGUUCGGAUCGGGAAUUUUACUCCGAUAUUGCCUGGACCCCGAAAGUUCGUAAUCCCUAGACUGCGGAUAUUUAUGCAAAAUAAAAAAUUUUCAAGACGAUUAUAAAGACCAGAAAUUAGAUAAAAAUUAAUGGUUUCUUUCAAUAAUUUUGACAAGUUGAAAAUAGUGUACCUUAUGUGUCUUCAUGAUCUUAUAUUUCAACUACUCAUUUUUGCCAUAAAUACAUAAAAUCCGUAGUCUACUAAUCACGCAAGUAUGUACGACAUGUUAUUUUAUAACUUUCUCAUGACAAUUAUGUCUCCUACACUCAAAAUAAAGGAUAAAAUUAUAUCAUUCCACGCUACAUAUUCGAAAAUAUAUUUCUCUUUCGUAAUUUCGCAAGUAUGUACGAUACUGUUUUAUAACUUUCUCAUGACAAUUAUAUUUCCUACACUCAAAAUAAAGAAUAAAAUUAUAUUACUCCACGCUACAUAUUUAAAAAUA